rnacentral:rRNA from 1 species
GACGAACGCUGGCGGCGUGCUUAACACAUGCAAGUCGAACGGAAAGGCCCUGCUUUUGUGGGGUGCUCGAGUGGCGCACGGGUGAGUAACACGUGAGUAUCCUGCCCUUGACUUUGUGAUAACUUCAGAAAACUGCGGCUAAUACCGGCUCGGUGCUCCUGCUGCAUGGUGGGGGUUGGAACGUUCCGGCGGUUGGGGGUGGACUCGCGGCUUAUCAGCUUGUUGGGGGAGUACUGGCCUAGCCAGGCUUUGACGGGUAGCCGGCCUGAGCGGGUGACCGGCGACAAUGCGACUGAGAGAGGGCGCAGUCGCCAACGUGGGACAGCAGGGGGGAAUAUUGCACAGUGGGCGGAAGUGUGAGGUAGCAGCGUCGGGGGUGGAAAGACGGCCUUCGAGGUGUAAACCGUUUUCGCCUGUGACGAAGCGGGAGUGACGGUAAUGGGUAAAGAAGCACCGGCUAACUACGUG